CCUUCCGGAAGGGGCACCUCAGCCGGGCGUUGCGUUUCAUGGCCCUCCUCCUUGUUACCAGAAAGUUUCCAUGGAGAUGGGCCUCUUCCUCGAUUUCCCCUCCUUAAGGGAGGGAGCUGAGGAAACCUGACCCCAGGAGGAUGCCAUCCCUGCCUUUUGCCUUCCCAACUGGCCUGGGUAAGAAAACUCUGAUGCUACAUCAAAGUCCACUGAGAAUGGGUAAAAGAUGAAACCGGGGCUCACAUUAUUUAAAGCUAUAGAAGAAUGGACCGAGGAACCUUACUGCCACUCUGACCACAUCCAGAGGCAUCUUGUCCUAUACGCUCUGAAGGGCUUGAGCCCAGGAGUUCAAGACCUGCCUGGGUAAUACAGCAAGACCGCAUUCUCCACAAAAAGGGGAAAAAAACGACCAAAAAACACCCUAUGAUUAAUGAAAAAUAAAUGGAAGAUAAUAUAGACAAAGGGAUGAAGGCAAGAAAAGCUUCAAAGGAGAACUGUGAUCUAUGGAAAAGUAAAAGACCCAUAAUAGCCAAAAUAAUGUUGGAAGAGAAUAACAAAGUUGGAGGACUUACACUUUUUGAUUUCAAAACUUACAACAAAGCUAAAAUAACCAAGAUAAUGUGGCAUUAGUAUAAAGACAGAUAUAGAGAUUGAUGGGUCAUAAUUGAGAUUCAAGAAAUAAACCCUUACUAUUAUCAUUAAUUGAUCUCUGGUAAAAAUGCAAGGCAAUUCAAUGGAGGAAAGGCCAGCUUUGCUAAAAAAAGGUGCUUGGAAAAUUGGAUAUUCACAUGCAAGAUGAAUUAAAGCUCUUAUCUCGUGCCAUACACAAAAAUUUACUCAAAAUGGAUCACAAAAUCAUAGACCUAAAUGUAAGAGCUAUAACUAUAAAACUCUGAGAAGAAAACAGGAAUAAGUUCUUAUGGUUAGGGAAAGAUUUCUUAGAUGUGACACCAAAAGCGUGAAGGCUUCGGGUAUUAUAUGUCUUUGUGUGUGUGUGUGUGUGUGUGUGUUUGUUUGUUUGUUUGUUUGUUUUUUGAGACAAAGUCUCAUCACGCAGGCUGGAGUGCAGUGGUGCACAACCUCUGCCUCCCAGGUUCAAGCGAUUC
rnacentral:lncRNA from 10 species